CCUCCCUGACUGUUCCACCUGCCUGCAGUCUGAUUGCAGCAAUGAGAAUCAGCUGCCGUAAUUGGCUCACACCAGUCACCUGUUUGCAAUUCCACCUCCCAGCAUAUAAGCCAGCUCUGUCAUUCACUCCCUGCUCCACCAUGGACGCGCACAUCCUGCGUCGACUCGUGACCACCAGAGCUUCUUGGACACGACUCUGCCCUCGUACCCCUGCCGGUUCCUGUAUGGGUUUCCUACCUACCCCUUCAGCUGAGUUUCUUCCCGUGCCCUUCCUCCCUGACUGUUCCACCUGCCUGCAGUCUGAUUGCAGCAAUGAGAAUCAGCUGCCGUAAUUGGCUCACACCAGUCACCUGUUUGCAAUUCCACCUCCCAGCAUAUAAGCCAGCUCUGUCAUUCACUCCCUGCUCCACCAUGGACGCGCACAUCCUGCGUCGACUCGUGACCACCAGAGCUUCCUGGACACGACGCUGCCCUCGUACCCCUGCCGGUUCCUGUUUGGGUUUCCUACCUACCCCUUCAGCUGAGUUUCUUCCCGUGACCAUCUGCUACAAAGCAUUACCGGGUAACAAAUACACCUGAUGAAGAUCAGAAAUAUUCAAGCAGAAACCUUCAGCUUCCACGAAGGUGGAAAUCAUUCUGCCAUGAAGACCUAACAACCUUCAAAGACAAUUUGAAAAUGGGUAAGAAAUGAAAGCACACACUGUUUAGUCUAGACCAUCAUUUGUGCUGACAUCUGUGCUUUUAGAUUCUAUCAAGACGGGGAGAGAAAAAAAAAAAAAAAAAAAAAAACUGAGUGUAGUCUGCGUAAAAUACAUCACCUGCUUAAGCGUGACUGGCUGGAUUUUGAACUGACCUACUGAUGAAUGUUUCAAAGGCGACACGGACCUUCCUGGAGGAUGUUGCACAAGGAGUUUUGUCAUUGUUGCCACAUUCUGGUGUCGACUCGACUCGACUCCAUUCCACUCGACUCCAUUUGACUGCAUUGAUUGCCUUUUGUAUUUAUAGAUUAUUGUGAGAAAUUGCAAGAAUUGAUUCUUUUUUUUUUUAUGUUUUGUACAAGUUUGUUGUCAAUAAAAAAGAAAACCUUUAUUGAAAAAAUUGUUUGGAUUGUGAAACAUUGUCACAGGAAGAACCUCAGUCACUGCAACUUGAUGCUCUGUUAUUGUUGCAGGAAGAACGUCGGUCGCUGCCACUUGGUUCUCUGUUAUUGUUGCAGGAAGAACGUCGGUCGCUGCCACUUGGUUCUCUGUUAUUGUUGCAGGAAGA